GGCGACCAUCCACACUGCAUCGAUCGAUUUCUCCUCCCUGGCUAUUCACUAACAGGCAUCCUCCUCCUGGCUUCCAUGCAAGCUGUGUCUGAGGCUCUUCACUCCUUCCCCAUGGAUCAGCUUCCCUCCACCGCUCUCCUCACCUCGCUCUCUGUCUUCCCUCCUCCCUACUCUCAGAGAGAGACAUGCGGUGCCUGAUUUCAACCCAGGCAGAACAGAAAGGCGCACGUUACAGGCGUCCAGCAGUGUCACAGGCUCUCCUCUUCACCGUGCAUCGGCAGCGAUAGGGUUAAUCCCAGGUCAGUUCCCACGUGGGAGGGGAGGGCUCAGGCAAGGAUCGCUUACUGCUCAGCGAAGGAGAGGAGAGCCUGUAACGUGCGCCUUUCCUGGGUUGUAAUCAGGCGCCGCAUGUCUCUCUCUGAGAGUAGGGAGGAGGGAAGACAGAGAGGGAGGUGAGCGGAGGAGGGAAGCUGAUCCACGGGAAAGGAGUGAAGAGCCUCAGACACAGCUUGCAUGGACGCCGGGAGGAGGAUGCCUGUCAGUGAAUAGCCAGGGAGGAGAAAUCGAUCGAUGCAGUGUGGAUGGUCACCUUUUCGCCGUUUCUGAAGAGGACAGGAAGUGGAUUUUAUUGGGGACGCUGAUGGCAGAGCACCUGGAUCAUUACAACUAAAGAAUGGAGCUACACGAAUAAGGACACACAGGGGACCUGGAUUUAUUGAAAACACAGGUGCAUUAGCAACACACAAGUAAAAGGACAUAAAUGAAGGCAGUUAUUCGCAAACCUCUGCUCAUGCCUCCCAUGUUUUUGAUGGAACUACGCUCCGUGGACACAAACUGGAGGGUCACCAAAACAAGUGCAGUGUAAUUUAAUGUUAUUCACAGGUAAAGAGUUAAUGGGGGAUUAUGCACAGAUCAUACUCUGUGCCUAUAAUUUUAAUAUUUAAAAAACUCUGGAGGAGAUGUAAUAAAAUUCACAAAGAGAACAAAUUUGCAAAUAAAUUUUGCAUGUCGCAAUGUAAUAUUCUUCAUAAGGCUUUUAGUGCAUUAUGAGCCUUUAACACCUUCUUGAAGGUGGGGUAAGCUUUUGGAUCAAAUGUAAGAACUUUUUCAUUAAGAAGUUUUAUUACAUACAUACACUGUACAAAAUGGCAAACUAUAAAAUUUGCAGUCGAUAUUCUACUGUCGCAUUAGAGGCAAAAACAAAGGCAACAUUUCUCACGUUGCAAACAUUUAUUUGUGAUUUUGUGAAUAAAUUGCGAAUGAUUUUUGCUUUAGCGACCAUUAUUACAUUCCCCCAUCUGUGUUUUGCUGUUUUUUGAGCUAAACCCCCCAAUGAUUUAACCUUUCCUUCUCCUUCAGCUAUGCAGCUAACUAUUAGUGAUGGGCAAAUUUAUUCGCCA